AAGUCGUAACAAGGUUUCCGUAGGUGAACCUGCGGAAAGAUCAUUAACACGUAUCCAAACGUUAAAACCCCCCCCGUGAACCUUCAUCCUGCUCUUGUAACCCGCGUAGUUCGCAAUCUCUGAUAAAUCAUAGCUCGGAAAGUUGUAGUGAUUCAGAGACCUCUGGCUAACGUGCGAACAUUGGAACAGUUACAAUCGAGCGGUAGCGUACACUCGGGCAGGAGCUUUGCCAAAGGGUCCCCAUGCCCCCUAAUAACCCCACAGUUUAAUGUGAAGCUCAAUGUAAUACAUUGGGUAAAAAAACCGAACAACUGUUAACAAUGGAUAUCUUGGUUCUC
rnacentral:misc_RNA from 1 species